rnacentral:rRNA from 1 species
GACAGAGGGUGCAAACGUUGUUCGGAAUUACUGGGCGUAAAGCGCGUGUAGGCGGCUUAGCAAGUCGGAUGUGAAAGCCCUGGGCUUAACCCAGGAAGUGCACUCGAAACUGCUGAGCUUGAGUUCUGGAGAGGAAGGCGGAAUUCUCGGUGUAGAGGUGAAAUUCGUAGAUAUCGAGAGGAACACCGGUGGCGAAGGCGACUUCCUGGCCUGUUCUUGACGCUGAGGCGCGAAAGCUAGGGGAGCAAACGGG